rnacentral:rRNA from 1 species
GACGAACGCUGGCGGCGUGCCUAAUACAUGCAAGUAGAACGCACAGUUUAUACCGUAGCUUGCUACACCAUAGACUGUGAGUUGCGAACGGGUGAGUAACGCGUAGGUAACCUGCCUGGUAGCGGGGGAUAACUAUUGGAAACGAUAGCUAAUACCGCAUAAUAUUAAUUAUUGCAUGAUAAUUAAUUGAAAGGUGCAAUUGCACCACUACCAGAUGGACCUGCGUUGUAUUAGCUAGUAGGUGAGGUAACGGCUCACCUCGGCGACGAUACAUAGCCGACCGGGGAGGGUGAUCGGCCACACUGGGACGGAGACACGGCCCAGACUCCUACGGGAGGCAGCAGUAGGGAAUCGUCGGCAAUGGACGAAAGUCUGACCGAGCAACGCCGCGUGAGUGAAGAAGGUUUUCGGAUCGUAAAGCUCUGUUGUAAGAGAAGAACGGGUGUGAGAGUGGAAAGUUCACACUGCGACGGUAGCUUACCAGAAAGGGACGGCUAACUACGUG